CCGCUGAACUUAAGCAUAUCAAUAAGCGGAGGAAAAGAAACCAACAGGGAUUGCCCUAGUAACGGCGAGUGAAGCGGCAACAGCUCAAAUUUGAAAUCUGGCUUCGGCCCGAGUUGUAAUUUGCAGAGGAAGCUUCUGGUGCGGUGCCUUCCGAGUCCCCUGGAAUGGGGCGCCAUAGAGGGUGAGAGCCCCGUAUGGUCGGCCGCCUAGCCUGUGUGAAGCUCCUUCGACGAGUCGAGUAGUUUGGGAAUGCUGCUCAAAAUGGGAGGUAAAUUCCUUCUAAAGCUAAAUACUGGCCAGAGACCGAUAGCGCACAAGUAGAGUGAUCGAAAGAUGAAAAGCACUUUGAAAAGAGGGUUAAACAGCACGUGAAAUUGUUGAAAGGGAAGCGCUUGUGACCAGACUUGCGCCGGGCUGAUCAUCCGGUGU
rnacentral:rRNA from 1 species